rnacentral:rRNA from 1 species
GACAGAGGUGCCGAGCGUUAGGCGGAAUCACUGGGCUUAAAGCGUGUGUAGGCGGCGGCGUAAGUACCUUGUGAAAUCCCACGGCUCAACCGUGGAACUGCUCGGUAUACUGCGUCGCUUGAGCCAGCUAGGGGCGACCGGAACAAACGGUGGAGCGGUGAAAUGACGUAGAUAUCGUUUGGAACGCCGAUGGUGAAAACAGGUCGCUGGGGCUGUGC